UCAGGACGAACGCUGGCGGCGUGCCUAAUACAUGCAAGUCGAGCGGACAGAUGGGAGCUUGCUCCCUGAUGUUAGCGGCGGACGGGUGAGUAACACGUGGGUAACCUGCCUGUAAGACUGGGAUAACUCCGGGAAACCGGGGCUAAUACCGGAUGCUUGUUUGAACCGCAUGGUUCAAACAUAAAAGGUGGCUUCGGCUACCACUUACAGAUGGACCCGCGGCGCAUUAGCUAGUUGGUGAGGUAAUGGCUCACCAAGGCAACGAUGCGUAGCCGACCUGAGAGGGUGAUCGGCCACACUGGGACUGAGACACGGCCCAGACUCCUACGGGAGGCAGCAGUAGGGAAUCUUCCGCAAUGGACGAAAGUCUGACGGAGCAACGCCGCGUGAGUGAUGAAGGUUUUCGGAUCGUAAAGCUCUGUUGUUAGGGAAGAACAAGUACCGUUCGAAUAGGGCGGUACCUUGACGGUACCUAACCAGAAAGCCACGGCUAACUACGUGCCAGCAGCCGCGGUAAUACGUAGGUGGCAAGCGUUGUCCGGAAUUAUUGGGCGUAAAGGGCUCGCAGGCGGUUCCUUAAGUCUGAUGUGAAAGCCCCCGGCUCAACCGGGGAGGGUCAUUGGAAACUGGGGAACUUGAGUGCAGAAGAGGAGAGUGGAAUUCCACGUGUAGCGGUGAAAUGCGUAGAGAUGUGGAGGAACACCAGUGGCGAAGGCGACUCUCUGGUCUGUAACUGACGCUGAGGAGCGAAAGCGUGGGGAGCGAACAGGAUUAGAUACCCUGGUAGUCCACGCCGUAAACGAUGAGUGCUAAGUGUUAGGGGGUUUCCGCCCCUUAGUGCUGCAGCUAACGCAUAA
rnacentral:rRNA from 1 species